UCUUCACUCUGGCCUCCAGAGAGAAAUGUUAUUCCUGGAAGCAAAAGUUUUUGAGUAUUAUGGACUUUAAAAAAAAUAAAAUAAAAAAUCUCAUAUAAUGGCAGACAAUGUGAAGCUGGACAAACAUAGAAAAAAUGUACAGGAACACCAUCAUCAGAAGUCUGGUAGAGGGUUUCAUGGAAAAAAAUGACUCCACCGAUGCAGUUGUCAAUGCGGUCGUCUGCGCUGAAGAGGACUUGGCGGUACUGGCGACGGUUCUCCUCUGUGUUCUCCACUCCGAUCUGAUUCAGACGCUUUCCCAUGCUGCCUGUUGGUUAAACAAUCCUCCCAGAGUGAAACAGUAUCACGAAUAUGCUGGAAGCACUUAAUUGCUUUAUGCAGAUCAGGAUCACAGCGGAGCCAGAGCAUGUCCCGGGAAUACUGAGCAUGAGGUGGGAAUACACCCUGGACACCAGUCCAUCACAGAGCAUUGUUUCUGUAGUAUGAUCAUUAACAUGGACUUGUAUAAUGACUUACCACAUGAUGUAAGACUAAUGAUAAAAGUAUUAAAAGUGUUUUGUUAUUUAACAUGAUAUGGUGAAAGUUUCUGUACGAAAAUGUUUCUUGUAUCAUUUUAUGGAAAGAGUCUUCACUGUAAGCAGUUUGUACGUUUUCCGUAACAGCAGAGGACUGAGGAGACCGAGGAGUUUUCCGAGCGUUUUCCGAUUUGUCAAUAAUAUCACAUGUAUUUUUUGUCUUAUUAACUUCAAGAGAGAGAAAAAUUAGAGGCUGCUGUUCCAGUUCAACAUGUUUUGUGGACAUUCCAUAACAUUAAAUGUAACUAUAAAACUGUUAAAAAGAUGACAUGUUGCUCUUUAAUUAAAAAAAAAAAAAAAAAAAAAAACUGUGUCAAAUCGAUGUCAAAUUACUGUACUACAAGUAGAAUAAAACACUUCACAAGAUGCUGUUAUAAUCUUUUGGUGGUAACAGUA